rnacentral:rRNA from 1 species
AUGAACGCUAGCUACAGGCUUAACACAUGCAAGUCGAGGGGCAGCAUGAACUUAGCUUGCUAAGUUUGAUGGCGACCGGCGCACGGGUGAGUAACACGUAUCCAACCUGCCGAUGACUCGGGGAUAGCCUUUCGAAAGAAAGAUUAAUACCCGAUGGCAUAGUUCUUCCGCAUGGUGGAACUAUUAAAGAAUUUCGGUCAUCGAUGGGGAUGCGUUCCAUUAGGUUGUUGGCGGGGUAACGGCCCACCAAGCCUUCGAUGGAUAGGGGUUCUGAGAGGAAGGUCCCCCACAUUGGAACUGAGACACGGUCCAAACUCCUACGGGAGGCAGCAGUGAGGAAUAUUGGUCAAUGGACGAGAGUCUGAACCAGCCAAGUAGCGUGAAGGAUGACUGCCCUAUGGGUUGUAAACUUCUUUUAUACGGGAAUAAAGUGAGGCACGUGUGCCUUUUUGUAUGUACCGUAUGAAUAAGGAUCGGCUAACUCCGUGCCAGCAGCCGCGGUAAUACGGAGGAUCCGAGCGUUAUCCGGAUUUAUUGGGUUUAAAGGGAGCGUAGGCGGACGCUUAAGUCAGUUGUGAAAGUUUGCGGCUCAACCGUAAAAUUGCAGUUGAUACUGGGUGUCUUGAGUACAGUAGAGGCAGGCGGAAUUCGUGGUGUAGCGGUGAAAUGCUUAGAUAUCACGAAGAACUCCGAUUGCGAAGGCAGCUUGCUGGACUGUAACUGACGCUGAUGCUCGAAAGUGUGGGUAUCAAACAGGAUUAGAUACCCUGGUAGUCCACACAGUAAACGAUGAAUACUCGCUGUUUGCGAUAUACAGUAAGCGGCCAAGCGAAAGCGUUAAGUAUUCCACCUGGGGAGUACGCCGGCAACGGUGAAACUCAAAGGAAUUGACGGGGGCCCGCACAAGCGGUGGAGUAUGUGGUUUAAUUCGACGCAACGCGAAGAACCUUACCAGGGCUUGACAUCCCGAGGCUCGGUCUAGAGAUAGGCCUUUCUCUUCGGAGACCUCGGUGACAGGUGGUGCAUGGUUGUCGUCAGCUCGUGUCGUGAGAUGUUGGGUUAAGUCCCGCAACGAGCGCAACCCUUAUCGAUAGUUACCAUCAGGUUAUGCUGGGGACUCUGUCGAGACUGCCGUCGUAAGAUGUGAGGAAGGUGGGGAUGACGUCAAAUCAGCACGGCCCUUACGUCCGGGGCUACACACGUGUUACAAUGGGGGGUACAGAAGGCAGCUACACGGCGACGUGAUGCUAAUCCCGAAAGCCUCUCUCAGUUCGGAUUGGAGUCUGCAACCCGACUCCAUGAAGCUGGAUUCGCUAGUAAUCGCGCAUCAGCCACGGCGCGGUGAAUACGUUCCCGGGCCUUGUACACACCGCCCGUCAAGCCAUGAAAGCCGGGGGUACCUGAAGUGCGUAACCGCAAGGAGCGCCCUAGGGUAAAACUGGUGAUUGGGGCU